rnacentral:rRNA from 1 species
GACGAACGCUGGCGGCGUGCUUAACACAUGCAAGUCGAACGGUAAGGCCCUUCGGGGUACACGAGUGGCGAACGGGUGAGUAACACGUGGGUGAUCUGCCCUGCACUUCGGGAUAAGCCUGGGAAACUGGGUCUAAUACCGGAUAGGACUCCGGACUGCAUGGUCUGGGGUGGAAAGCUUUUGCGGUGUGGGAUGGGCCCGCGGCCUAUCGGCUGGUUGGUGGGGGGAUGGCCUACCAAGGGGACGACGGGUAGCCGGCCUGAGAGGGUGACCGGCCACACUGGGACUGAGAUACGGCCCAGACUCCUACGGGAGGCAGCAGUGGGGAAUAUUGCACAAUGGGCGCAAGCCUGAUGCAGCGACGCCGCGUGAGGGAUGACGGCCUUCGGGUUGUAAACCUCUUUCAGCACCGACGAAGCGCAAGUGACGGUAGGUGCAGAAGAAGGACCGGCCGACUACGUGCCAGCAGCCGCCGUAA